rnacentral:lncRNA from 1 species
AGAACACGCCAUGGAGUGGACUUUUAUUGGGGAACAAAAAAUUCUGGGGAAAAUCCCAUCCAAUGAAGAUUAAGGGGGGCCGCAUCCCAAGGUCAGGGGCAAUGAUUGGGUCUUCAGGGUAGUGGCCAGACAUGCCUCCGAACAGACAAGCCUUCGGAACCUGAGAAGGAUGGGGAAAGCUUUGGACAUAGCUGUGCCUAAGCGCCUCUCACCCAGCCAGGGAGGUAACUCAAAUCACGUGCGAGGAUGGCCUCCCACACUUGAAGAUAUUGGUGGUAUUAUAGCAACUUAUAUCUCUCAAAAUUCUUUUCUGUGUGGGUUCUCUCCUCAAGGUAACACAUUUUAUAAGAUUAUAUCACUUUAUUUUUAUUAGUCAUUUUUUUUUUUUUUUUGCAGUGCUGAGGGUUGAACCAGUGGUGCUCUACCACAGAGUCUUGUCCCCAAAUCUUUUAAUUUAUUUCUUUUUUAUUUGGAGACUGGGUCUUGCCAGGUUGUCCAAGCUAGCCUUGAAUUAAAAAGGAAGAAAGCCAUUUUCCCCCCUCUGUCAAAUCUCUUUAUGAAGAUAAGAAAAAACAUCUCAGGGAUGAAAGAAUUUCCUUUAUGUUUUUAAAAGAAUAGAGAAAUGACUUGUCUGCCCUUUCAGAAGCUGGGAGAGUUUCUUGUUGUUCUCCAUAGAUGUCACCAAACUAUCUUUGUGAGUAGGUAUAGGCAUUAGCACAUGUCACCUGUUCAGUUCAGGCACAGAGUUGUAGGUGUCUCAUGAGAUUGGCCUGUAGCAGAGAGUUAAGGGUGUAGGGUUUGGGGCUGGGGUUGUGGCUCAGUGGUAGAGUGCUUGCCUAGCACACAUGAGGUGCUGGAUUCAAUCCUCAGUAUCACAUUAAAACAAAAAAAAACUAAAUAAACAAAAUAAAGCUAUUGUGAACAUCUACAACUAAAAUUUUUUUUAAAAGCAUGUGGAGUUUGGAGUGGGAUUGCCUGUAUGUAAAUCCCAGCUCUGCCAUUGUAGCUGUGCAACCUUGGCCAACAAGCCUCCUACCUCCUAGUGCCUUAGUUCUCUUGACUGUAAAAUGGGGUGGCACGUGGAAUCCAUGUCGUAAAGUUGUCAGAAUUAAAGUCUUGUGUGAAUUUCCCUCUAAACAUUGUUCUUGCUGCUUCCUGCAAAUUUUAAUGUUUUAUUUCCACUUUCAUUUAGUUUAAUCUUCUCUAAAGUUUCAGGAAACUUCUUUAAUCAAUGUUCUAUUUUAAAAUGUACUGUUUAAUCUUUAUGUAUUUGGGGUUUGAGGGGUACCUUUGUGUUAUCAAUUUCUAGUUUAGUUUAAUUGCCUGAGAGCUUAUGUUGUAAGAUUUCUAUUCUUUUAAAUCUGCUGAGGCAUGUUUUAUGACCCAGAAUAUAGUCUAUCUUGGUGAAUAUUCCACCUGAGUAGAAUAGAGUAUGUUUUCUUCCAUUGUUGGAUGAAGUAUUUUAUAAAUUUUAGAUCCAUUUCAUUGACAAUGCUUUUCAGUUCAGCCAUAUUCCUAUUUGAUCAUUCAAGAAUCUUUAUCAUGUCUGAGUCUGAUGCUUACUUUGUUUCUUUAGACUGUUAUUUUUCUCAUUUUUUAGCGUAAUUUUACAUUUUUAUUGAAAGCUGGACAUGAAUCUGGUAAUGAGAACUACGGUAAAUACUAUUAUGUGCUGCAUGACAAUGUUUCUGUUAGUGAUAAUGUUAUGGCUUAGAUAUUAGUUGUCCUCCAAAAGCUCACAUGUGAGACAAUGCAAGAACAUUCAGAGGUGAAAUGAUCAGGCUACGAGAGCCUUAACCCAAUCAGUGAAUUAGUCUCCUGAUGGGAUUAACUGAGUGAGUGGUAACUGAAGGUGGAUGGGGUGUGGCUGGAGAAGGUGCUUGGUGGUGUGCUUUUGGGGUAUAUAUUUUGUAUCUAGCAAGUGGAGUCUCUCUCUCUCUCUGCUUCUUGAUUAUCAUGUGAGCUGCUUCCUUCUGUCAUAUUCUUCUGCCAUGGUGUCCUACUUCACUGUGAGUCCCAAGGAAUGAAGCUAGCUGUCUGUGGACUGAGUUCUGAAACUGUGAGCCCCCAAAUAAAUAUCCCUCCUCUAAAAUUGUUCUUGUCAGGUCUUUUAGUCAUAGUAACAAAAAAGCUAAUACAGGUAGACUGUGUAUACAAUGGUGGACUAAUUAGAUUGUAUCAUCUAGAGACAUCAUAGAUAUCUUAAUUUGUCUAAGUACUCUAUAUGUUCUCACAUAGAGUAAAAAAAUCACUGAAUUGUAUGCUUUAAAAGAAUAGAUCUUAAAAUUGUGAUCUAUAUGUGUAAUAUGAAUUGUAAUGAAUUCUGCCAUUAUAACAAAUUAAAAUAAAAAAUAGAAUUUCAC